GUCAAUCUCAAAAGGAUUCAUCAAGCUAUGGCAAACAAAAUGCUAAAGACAACAGUGGCAACAGUCAUUCUCAAAAGGAUCCAUCAAGCGAUGGCAAACAAAAUGCCAAAGACAACAGGGGCAACAGUCAAUUUCAAAAGGAUUCAUCAAGUGAUGGCAAACAAAAUGCUAAAGACAACAGUGGCAACAGUCAAUCUCAAAAGGAUCCAUCAAGCGAUGGCAAACACAAUACCAAAGACAACCAUGGCAACAGU